rnacentral:lncRNA from 1 species
CUUAGUUGAUGGUCGAUCCUGAGACAAAGCAAUGGUUCUAAACACACAAAAUGCGAAGCAUUGGACUGGACCUAGAGGAGUUGAUGGACAAAAUGAUACCAGAAACAUGACAAGUAUGCACUCACUAAUCACUACAUUAAAUCACUAACUCUCAGGCUCUGUCCUAAAUCCUAAUCAAUUCGUUGUGGAGCUUUUCUGUUUCCUCUAUCCAGUUACCUUUUGGUACAUGAUGAAUUAGUUAAGGAAAUAUACAUCCCUUAUAUAUCAAAUAUCACAAACAACAAUUUGAAUUUAUCCUUCAUGUGAGAACUAAAUUUGGAUGGUUGUCACCACAUGCCUACUUAGCAUUAUUGUUGUGCCGGAUGCCAAGAAUUAAACCACACAUAGUAAUCAGAUUGUAAGAGAAACACAUCAUCAUCCAAUCAAGAUAACAAAGGAAUGGAAUUGGAUAGAAUGAACAGAAACCAAGAACUUCAUAAUGACAAAAUACCACAAUCAAGUAACUUCAUCAAAACCACCAAACACAUAAACUUGUUUCACCGGAGACAUACCGUGAUAAAAUUGCAAGUACUCUGACCAUCUGCUCUGACGUAGUUGUUGGUGGUGCUACUAUGAAUCCCUGCAGGAAUCUGCUUGCUAACGUCUACUGGCUUAGGAGCGGCAUUAGGCUUUGGCGAAGGUUCUUUACUAGCAACACUACUCUCACUCGGUGCAGCUUGUGCUUUCCCCACUGCUGGUUUUGUAGCCUCACCGCUACCAAACAAGUAAUCCAAUGAACUCUGCCCUCCACCGCUGCUAACUCCACGACCCAUAUCUCCUAUUCGUCUAUGAUCGGGGACGAGGCGGCGGCCGGCGCUGCUGUCGUUCGCCGGAGAAGAAGAAAGCGGGGGGGACGGCGACCGAGUGUGCGUGUUUGUGUAUAUUGUGUGUGUGUGUGUUUAUUUGAGUAGUGUUUAGGUUUAGUUGGAAGCUUUAAUUAAAUUGAUUAAUAUGACUUAAUUAAAGUAAAUAUUUCCAUUUUAGGAAAGUGGCCNCGUGAUAAAAUUGCAAGUACUCUGACCAUCUGCUCUGACGUAGUUGUUGGUGGUGCUACUAUGAAUCCCUGCAGGAAUCUGCUUGCUAACGUCUACUGGCUUAGGAGCGGCAUUAGGCUUUGGCGAAGGUUCUUUACUAGCAACACUACUCUCACUCGGUGCAGCUUGUGCUUUCCCCACUGCUAGUUUUAGAGCCUCACCGCAACCAAACAAGUAAUCCAAUCAACUCUGCCCUCCACCGCUGCUAACUCCACGACCCAUAUCUCAUAUUCGU